GGUAUUUAUAUAUCUUGGGGAGAUUUAGAGUAUAAACUCUAAGAUCUUUGGUAUUUAAGUGUCAACAUCGAUUUAUUUAUUUAUUGCUGAGCUGACUGUAACUGACUCAAUAACAAAUCUAAUCAUGUAUUGCACUGGAAAAGAAAUAUUCUCAUUAUGUAUUUUCUCCAAACGAUGGCCCACCAUUGCAUUUGAAUGCCCACCGUAAAUAUCAAUAAUAUCGAGUAAUUACU
ensembl:misc_RNA